rnacentral:rRNA from 1 species
GGAACAGGACGUCAUAGAGGGUGAGAAUCCCGUAUGCGACCGGCGAUCAACCCCAUGUGAAACCCCUUCGACGAGUCGAGUUGUUUGGGAAUGCAGCUCAAAAUGGGUGGUAAAUUUCAUCUAAAGCUAAAUACCGGCCAGAGACCGAUAGCGCACAAGUAGAGUGAUCGAAAGAUGAAAAGCACUUUGGAAAGAGAGUCAAACAGUACGUGAAAUUGUUGAAAGGGAAGCGCUUGCAACCAGACCUGCCCCUGGGCGAUCAGCCGCUAUUCUUUAGCGGUGCACUCGUCCUCGUUCAGGCCAGCAUCGGUUCGGGCGGCCGGAUAAAGGCCCCGGGAAUGUAGCUCCCUUCGGGGAGUCUUAUAGCCCGGGGUGCAAUGCGGCCAGCCCGGACCGAGGACCGCGCUUCGGCUAGGAUGCUGGCAUAAUGGUUGUAAGCGACCCGUCUUGAAACACGGACCAAGGAGUCUAACAUCUAUGCGAGUGUUUGGGUGUCAAACCCAUGCGCGGAAUGAAAGUGAACGGAGGUGGGAACCCGCAAGGGCGCACCAUCGACCGAUCCAGAUGUCUUCGGAUGGAUUUGAGUACGAGCAUAGCUGUUGGGACCCGAAAGAUGGUGAACUAUGCCUGAAUAGGGUGAAGCCAGAGGAAACUCUGGUACUCGCAGCGGUUCUGACGUGCAAAUCGAUCGUCAAAUUUGGGUAUA